rnacentral:rRNA from 1 species
GGGUUGUGAGGUUAAGCGACUAAGCGUACACGGUGGAUGCCCUGGCAGUCAGAGGCGAUGAAGGACGUGCUAAUCUGCGAUAAGCGUCGGUAAGGUGAUAUGAACCGUUAUAACCGGCGAUUUCCGAAUGGGGAAACCCAGUGUGUUUCGACACACUAUCAUUAACUGAAUCCAUAGGUUAAUGAGGCGAACCGGGGAACUGAAACAUCUAAGUACCCCGAGGAAAAGAAAUCAACCGAGAUUCCCCCAGUAGCGGCGAGCGAACGGGGAGCAGCCCAGAGCCUGAAUCAGUGUGUGUGUUAGUGGAAGCGUCUGGAAAGGCGCGCGAUACAGGGUGACAGCCCCGUACACAAAAAUGCACAUGCUGUGAGCUCGAUGAGUAGGGCGGGACACGUGGUAUCCUGUCUGAAUAUGGGGGGACCAUCCUCCAAGGCUAAAUACUCCUGACUGACCGAUAGUGAACCAGUACCGUGAGGGAAAGGCGAAAAGAACCCCGGCGAGGGGAGUGAAAAAGAACCUGAAACCGUGUACGUACAAGCAGUGGGAGCACGCUUAGGCGUGUGACUGCGUACCUUUUGUAUAAUGGGUCAGCGACUUAUAUUCUGUAGCAAGGUUAACCGAAUAGGGGAGCCGAAGGGAAACCGAGUCUUAACUGGGCGUUAAGUUGCAGGGUAUAGACCCGAAACCCGGUGAUCUAGCCAUGGGCAGGUUGAAGGUUGGGUAACACUAACUGGAGGACCGAACCGACUAAUGUUGAAAAAUUAGCGGAUGACUUGUGGCUGGGGGUGAAAGGCCAAUCAAACCGGGAGAUAGCUGGUUCUCCCCGAAAGCUAUUUAGGUAGCGCCUCGUGAAUUCAUCUCCGGGGGUAGAGCACUGUUUCGGCAAGGGGGUCAUCCCGACUUACCAACCCGAUGCAAACUGCGAAUACCGGAGAAUGUUAUCACGGGAGACACACGGCGGGUGCUAACGUCCGUCGUGAAGAGGGAAACAACCCAGACCGCCAGCUAAGGUCCCAAAGUCAUGGUUAAGUGGGAAACGAUGUGGGAAGGCCCAGACAGCCAGGAUGUUGGCUUAGAAGCAGCCAUCAUUUAAAGAAAGCGUAAUAGCUCACUGGUCGAGUCGGCCUGCGCGGAAGAUGUAACGGGGCUAAACCAUGCACCGAAGCUGCGGCAGCGACGCUUAUGCGUUGUUGGGUAGGGGAGCGUUCUGUAAGCCUGCGAAGGUGUGCUGUGAGGCAUGCUGGAGGUAUCAGAAGUGCGAAUGCUGACAUAAGUAACGAUAAAGCGGGUGAAAAGCCCGCUCGCCGGAAGACCAAGGGUUCCUGUCCAACGUUAAUCGGGGCAGGGUGAGUCGACCCCUAAGGCGAGGCCGAAAGGCGUAGUCGAUGGGAAACAGGUUAAUAUUCCUGUACUUGGUGUUACUGCGAAGGGGGACGGAGAAGGCUAUGUUGGCCGGGCGACGGUUGUCCCGGUUUAAGCGUGUAGGCUGGUUUUCCAGGCAAAUCCGGAAAAUCAAGGCUGAGGCGUGAUGACGAGGCACUACGGUGCUGAAGCAACAAAUGCCCUGCUUCCAGGAAAAGCCUCUAAGCAUCAGGUAACAUCAAAUCGUACCCCAAACCGACACAGGUGGUCAGGUAGAGAAUACCAAGGCGCUUGAGAGAACUCGGGUGAAGGAACUAGGCAAAAUGGUGCCGUAACUUCGGGAGAAGGCACGCUGAUAUGUAGGUGAAGCGACUUGCUCGUGGAGCUGAAAUCAGUCGAAGAUACCAGCUGGCUGCAACUGUUUAUUAAAAACACAGCACUGUGCAAACACGAAAGUGGACGUAUACGGUGUGACGCCUGCCCGGUGCCGGAAGGUUAAUUGAUGGGGUCAGCGCAAGCGAAGCUCUUGAUCGAAGCCCCGGUAAACGGCGGCCGUAACUAUAACGGUCCUAAGGUAGCGAAAUUCCUUGUCGGGUAAGUUCCGACCUGCACGAAUGGCGUAAUGAUGGCCAGGCUGUCUCCACCCGAGACUCAGUGAAAUUGAACUCGCUGUGAAGAUGCAGUGUACCCGCGGCAAGACGGAAAGACCCCGUGAACCUUUACUAUAGCUUGACACUGAACAUUGAGCCUUGAUGUGUAGGAUAGGUGGGAGGCUUUGAAGUGUGGACGCCAGUCUGCAUGGAGCCGACCUUGAAAUACCACCCUUUAAUGUUUGAUGUUCUAACGUGGACCCGUGAUCCGGGUUGCGGACAGUGUCUGGUGGGUAGUUUGACUGGGGCGGUCUCCUCCUAAAGAGUAACGGAGGAGCACGAAGGUUGGCUAAUCCUGGUCGGACAUCAGGAGGUUAGUGCAAUGGCAUAAGCCAGCUUGACUGCGAGCGUGACGGCGCGAGCAGGUGCGAAAGCAGGUCAUAGUGAUCCGGUGGUUCUGAAUGGAAGGGCCAUCGCUCAACGGAUAAAAGGUACUCCGGGGAUAACAGGCUGAUACCGCCCAAGAGUUCAUAUCGACGGCGGUGUUUGGCACCUCGAUGUCGGCUCAUCACAUCCUGGGGCUGAAGUAGGUCCCAAGGGUAUGGCUGUUCGCCAUUUAAAGUGGUACGCGAGCUGGGUUUAGAACGUCGUGAGACAGUUCGGUCCCUAUCUGCCGUGGGCGCUGGAGAACUGAGGGGGGCUGCUCCUAGUACGAGAGGACCGGAGUGGACGCAUCACUGGUGUUCGGGUUGUCAUGCCAAUGGCACUGCCCGGUAGCUAAAUGCGGAAGAGAUAAGUGCUGAAAGCAUCUAAGCACGAAACUUGCCCCGAGAUGAGUUCUCCCUGACCCUUUAAGGGUCCUGAAGGAACGUUGAAGACGACGACGUUGAUAGGCCGGGUGUGUAAGCGCAGCGAUGCGUUGAGCUAACCGGUACUAAUGAACCGUGAGGCUUAACCUUACAACGCCGAAGCUGUU